rnacentral:rRNA from 1 species
UACGUAGGGUCCGAGCGUUGUCCGGAAUUAUUGGGCGUAAAGGGCUCGUAGGCGGUUUGUUGCGUCGGGAGUGAAAUCCUCCAGCUUAACUGGAGGCUUGCUUUCGAUACGGGCAGACUUGAGGUACUCAGGGGAGAAUGGAAUUCCUGGUGUAGCGGUGAAAUGCGCAGAUAUCGGGAGGAACACCGGUGGCGAAGGCGGCGACCUGGGUAGAUACUGACGCUGAGGUGCGAAAGCGUGGGGAGCAAACAGG